UACGUAGGUGGCGAGCGUUGUCCGGAUUUAUUGGGUUUAAAGGGUGCGUAGGCGGCUUUGUAAGUCAGUGGUGAAAUACUCCAGCUUAACUGGAGGGGUGCCAUUGAUACUGCGGAGCUUGAGUACAGAUGAGGUAGGCGGAAUUGACGGUGUAGCGGUGAAAUGCAUAGAUAUCGUCAAGAACACCGAUAGCGAAGGCAGCUUACUGGGCUGUAACUGACGCUGAUGCACGAAAGUGUGGGGAUCAAACAGG
rnacentral:rRNA from 1 species